UACGUAGGCAGCGAGCGUUGUUCGGAAUUACUGGGCGUAAAGAGUGUGUAGGCGGUGCUCUAAGUUCGGUGUGAAAUCUCCCGGCUUAACUGGGAGGGUGCGCCGAAAACUGGAGUGCUCGAGCGUGGGAGAGGAAAGCGGAAUUCCUGGUGUAGCGGUGAAAUGCGUAGAUAUCAGGAGGAACACCUGCGGUGUAGACGGCUUUCUGGACCAUUGCUGACGCUGAGACACGAAAGCGUGGGUAGCAAACAGG
rnacentral:rRNA from 1 species